AAUGUUUUCAUUCAGAUCUCAAGUACCUACAGCUAACCUUCUCAUAUUUUUUGCCUUGAAUUUAGGUGACAGGAGAGAAUACUGAGGAUAAAAACACUUCGGGGAAUAAAACUGGUUCGAUCAGUGAUUCAAGUGCCAGAAUACCUGAAAUCAGAAUUGAUGGAAGGAAUCUCUAUCAGGAGCAAAAUGAAAAAGAAAAUUCAGGAGAAUUGGAAUCUGUCAUCCAAUCAAUAGUCCAUCAAACUCAGAGUGAUCCUCUCUUUCAAAACUUUCUGAAUGAGUUCUUUAACGGUGAAAAAAACAGUGAUAAUGUUCCCACAAAAUGUUCAAAAGCUGAGUCUGAAAAUCCUACCUCGGUUUCCAAGAAUCAAACAAAAGGAGUUGAAACUGACAAAGACUCAGAGACAAAUGUUGCAUCACGGACCAAUUUGAAAGAGAGCAAAGAUCCUCUAUGCAGCACUGAAGGUAAUCUCUCAUCAGUCAAUGAGUCCAAAAUUAAUUAUGUGGAAGAUGAAGAAUCAAGCAAAACCAUAUCUGAAGAAAACGAUCAGCAACUAUUAGAAAUUAAUACUUCAGCUCCCACUAAUACUGCUGUGGUAGAAUCAAACAUAUCCAAUAAGAUCCAGCAAGCACAAUCAGUUAAGAAGCCAAGCAAACCAGCAAAAGUAGCGGAAAAGAUGCCAAGCCAUUUGGCUCCAACAAACCAUCAAACAUUUUCAGUCGUGAAAAUGGGAAAGGCUACCUCCUCCACCCAGAAAAAUCCCUCAACUUCCAGUAUUGUUGUACUUGACGCUACUUCCACAGUGCCAACCUCAAUCCAAACUGGCACCGGCACUGUGCCCCUUCCGCAUCGGAUGGUGACUUUACCCAACCAUCCAGCUACUUCCUUGAUGAAACCGAUUUCUGCUCUCUCUCCCAGCUUAUUUGCAAACAGUACGCUGCCUUUGAACAGGAAGAAAAAUAUACCUCCAACUGUCCUAAUCACUGAAGAUCUGCUGAACCCUCCGAAGCACGGUAUCUGUAAGUAUAUUUUCAGUUUUGUGUUUGAACUGUCGAAAGUUUCAAUUUAGUAGCCGAUUUGUGUAUUAUUUAAAACUUAAGAUUUUAUAAUUACUAUCCUCUUUUCCUUUACUCAUUCUGUUCUCAGUUGUCUUUAGUCUGUCGUACAAGCAAAACCCGGUUGUUCGAGUAUUUUUUUGCGUUAAUAAAAGUUAAGGUUAAACCAUAUGAUACAAAGUUAGCACAAAGUUUUUAAUGCAUAGAAAAUGAAACCAGGAGAAAUGAAAAAGCUAUGAGAGUGCCUCAUACUCUACUGUGACUCUACUGUAGAGUGCCUACUGUUGCUGUAACGGUAUCUUAUGUAUUUUUCUCCCUUCUUGGCGCACAGAUCAUUCUUACAUCUACUUCUCAACGUGAGCAGGGAUCAAAUUUUCUUGUCUCCUCUGUUAACAACUUCUCCAUUCAGAAUGGCAACUGUAUUCCCAUUAUUCACCCAGAGCUCAUCAGAGCACUCUGUAUUAAUCUCUCCGUUGUUUUCAAAGCCACUAUUUCAACCAAUUGAUGAGUUCAUACGACUUCAAAAUUAUUUAUAAAGCAUCAGAGAAAAUUGUGUUAACAUCUAAUUAAUCUUUAAAAUAGACUGAUGAACAAAAUAUCUGUCCUGCAAGCCAC
rnacentral:lncRNA from 1 species